UACGUAGGUGGCAAGCGUUAUCCGGAAUUAUUGGGCGUAAAGAGCGCGCAGGUGGUUAAUUAAGUCUGAUGUGAAAGCCCACGGCUUAACCGUGGAGGGUCAUUGGAAACUGGUUGACUUGAGUGCAGAAGAGGGAAGUGGAAUACCAUGUGUAGCGGUGAAAUGCGUAGAGAUAUGGAGGAACACCAGUGGCGAAGGCGGCUUCCUGGUCUGCAACUGACACUGAGGCGCGAAAGCGUGGGGAGCAAACAGG
rnacentral:rRNA from 1 species